rnacentral:rRNA from 1 species
UCGCCUGUUUUACAAAAACAUGUCCUUUUGAAUUUUAUUUAAGGUCUGACCUGCCCUAUGAGAAAUUAAAUGGCCGCGGUAUUUUAACCGUGCAAAGGUAGCAUAGUCACUUGUCUCUUAAUUGGAGGCUUGAAUGAAGGGUUGGACGAGAUAUAAACUUUCUUUAUUAUAUAAAGUUGAAUUUGACUUUUGAGUCAAAAGGCUUAAAUUUAUUUAUAGGACGAGAAGACCCUAUAGAAUUUUAUAUUUUUAUACAAGUAGCUUAUUUAUUGAUGAUGAGGCUUUUUAUAUAAAAAUAUUUUGUUGGGGCGAUGGGAAGAUUUUUUUAACUCUUUUUUAUUUAAAUCAUUGAUAUAUGUUUUUUUGAUCCUUUUUUAGAGAUUAAAAGAUUAAAUUACCUUAGGGAUAACAGCGUAAUUCUUUUGGAGAGUUCUUAUCGAUAAAGGAGUUUGCGACCUCGAUGUGGAUUAAAA